rnacentral:rRNA from 1 species
UGCCAGACUCCUACGGGAGGCAGCAGUGAGGAAUAUUGGUCAAUGGGCGCGAGCCUGAACCAGCCAAGUCGCGUGAGGGAUGACGGCCCUACGGGUUGUAAACCUCUUUUGUCGGGGAGCAAAUUCCGCCACGUGUGGCGGACUCGAGAGUACCCGAAGAAAAAGCAUCGGCUAACUCCGUGCCAGCAGCCGCGGUAAUACGGAGGAUGCGAGCGUUAUCCGGAUUUAUUGGGUUUAAAGGGUGCGUAGGCGGACUGUCAAGUCAGCGGUAAAAUACGGGGGCUCAACCUCCGCCCACCGUUGAAACUGACGGUCUUGAGUGGGCGAGAAGUAUGCGGAAUGCGUGGUGUAGCGGUGAAAUGCAUAGAUAUCACGCAGAACUCCGAUUGCGAAGGCAGCAUACUGGCGCCCAACUGACGCUGAAGCACGAAAGCGUGGGUAUCGAACAGGAUUAGAUACCCUCGUAAC